UUAAAAAUAUAACUGUUUCAA
rnacentral:piRNA from 1 species